CAGGACAUGGAGAACCUCUUGGAAAACCCCCAAAAAACCCUGAAAAAACCCUGAAAAAACACCCAAAAAAUCCCAAAAAAAUCCCCAAAAAAUCCCAAAAAAAUCCCAAAAAAUCCCCAAAAACCGGGAAACCCCUGGAAAACCCCCAGAGCCCCCAAACCCUCCCAAAACCCCCCAAAAAAUCCCCGACCUGCUGCAGGCUGAGCAGCACGGUGCGAGCCCACUCGAGGCGGUCGAGCUCCCGCGCCGCCCGCAGCGUCUCGCGGAUGACGUCGCCGUAAUCGCCGUGGAACUGGCCGGGGGGUGGGGAAAAAAGGCCGGAAUUGCCCAAAAUCGCCCGGAUUGAGCCCAAAAAAGGGACCCCCGGGGGUGGCAGCCCACCUUGGAGUAGUGCUUGAAGACGUCGGAGGCGGCGCGGAGCUCCAGGACCCCCUGGAGCAGGAGCUUGCAGAAGGCGGCCAAGAGCAGCCGGCGCUGGUGCAGCUCCUCCAGGUGGCCCUCGGAGGCCUCUGGAAGGAGGAAUUUUGGGGAAUUUUGGGGGAUUUUUGGGAAUUCAGGGCUCGGGGAGUGAUGGGGAUGUGGAAUUUGGGGGGAUUUGGGAUUGGGGAUUGGGGGAAAAGGGAAUUGUGGGAGGGGAAAAGGUUGGGAAGGAGCUGAAAAAUCGAGAGGUUGGGACCUUGGAGAAUCUGGGAAUUUUGGGGAUUGCGGGGAUUUUGGGAAUUCUGGGUGGUUCCAGGUGUUGGGGAGUGAUGGGGUGUGGAAUUUGGGGGCUUUGGGAUCGGGGAAUCUCAAGAUCCUGGAAUUGGAGGGGUUUGGGAAUGGUGGGAAAAGGGAAUUGAGGGAGAACAAAAGUUGGGAAGGAGCUGCAAAAUCGAGGAGUUGGACCUUGGAGAAUCUGGGAAUUUUGGGGAUUUCAGGGAUUUUGGGAGCCUGGAAUUCUGGGAUUGUGGAACCUGGGGUGUUGGGAUCCCAAAAAAGCCCCCAAAAAAGCCCCCAAACCCCCCCAAGACCCCCAGAUCCCCAAACCUCCCCGUUCCCGUUGUUCCCGCUCCGCGCUCACCAUUCCCAUUGCUCCCGCUGUUCCCGCUGUUCCCAUUGUUCCCACUCCACACUCACUGUUCCUGCUGUUCCCGUUGUUCCCAUUCCCAUUCCCGCUGUUCCCAUUGUUCCCACUCCACACUCACCAUUCCCAUUGUUCCCAUUGUUCCCGCUGUUCCCACUGUUCCCAUUCCCAUUCCCGCUGUUCCCGCUGUUCCCAUUCCCGCUCCACACUCACCAUUCCCACUGUUCCCAUUCCCGCUGUUCCCAUUCCCGCUCCACACUCACCAUUCCCAUUGUUCCCAUUCCCGCUGUUCCCGUUGUUCCCACUCCACACUCACCAUUCCCAUUGUUCCCGUUGUUCCCAUUCCCAUUCCCGCUGUUCCCAUUGUUCCCACUCCACACUCACUGUUCCCGUUGUUCCCGUUGUUCCCAUUCCCAUUCCCGCUGUUCCCGUUGUUCCCACUCCACACUCACUGUUCCCG
rnacentral:lncRNA from 13 species